rnacentral:RNase_P_RNA from 1 species
AGCAGGUUCUUGAUGGCCGCUGUUUCCGAGAGGAAAUAGAGGAAAGUCCGAGCUCCACAGGGUAAACGUAGCGGGUAACGCCCGUCCAUAGAUCAGAAAUGAUUUAUGCGGAUUAGAGCCACAGAGACGAGUCUCCAAAGCAUGGAGAACCCAUGCAAGGAGGGUGAAACGCGGCAAUCUCUACGUGGAGAAAGACCAAAUAGGUCCCGCCAUAAGGGUGACCCGCUCUUCAGUAGCGGGACGGGUUAGGUCGCUAUAUUCUCGAAAGAGGAGAAGAUUCUGCCAGCAAUGGUAGAGCUAGAUAGAUGGCCAUCUGAUGAGCACUUAUGUGCUCAUUAACAGAACUCGGCUUACGAGAACCUGCUUUAC